GUCCAUAUAGGUCAGUGGCGUGUUCAGCCCAGACAUUCAUAUCUUCAGUGGUUCGUGUCGUCUUUGCCUGGGACAUAUAAAGGUUCUCGAAGUUGGAAAAGAGAUAAUCGAUCUGCAGGGUGGAUACGUGAACUUCGGGCCGAAAUGCGACGAGAAACAUGAAGAAUGUACCCACAAGAUGAGUAAACACUAUAUUCAUGCAAUACGAUUUAUUUUUUUUAGUAAUAGGCAGUGAAAGUUUUUUAUAUUUUCCGUGGUGGUGUGUAGGAUGAAAUAUCAUAUAUUACUGAUAUUACGGGUUGUAUAUAUAUAUAUAUCGUUUAUUGCCGUUACUGAUUGCACUGAUUAUAACUCCUUGAUACUGAUCCCCCCUUUUUCACUGACCUUCAAGCCACAAUAGCGUGCAGGGACCGUACUGGGGUCCUAUUAAUAUACUUCCUUCCUUUCUUUAUAAACGUCGUAGUACGAUGUGCUAUAUAUACUUCUUUAGCUCUUUGUGUACAGUAUCACAGUUUUAAGUUCUUGAGAUAUUUACUAACACUCUUGAUGUUGUCGCAUCAUCUGUUCAGCCGGUAUAAUUAGGGUUGACACCACAGGCUCCGCAGCUGGGUUUUUCACUAUUCUGAUUUAGGGUGCGGAUGGAAGCUGAAUUAAUGUGGUGAUAAUAAUUUGGGGGGGGGGGGGGUAUAUAUACUACCCGACAAUCGAAGGUGGCCCAAUGAUACCAGCAUAAGUUACCCCUGAGAUUUUAUAAAAGGCGAUGUAGAUAUGAGUUGGGAGGUGGGAGGCUGUAGUGUCAAGCAAUAAAUCGCAAAAUAUGGAAAUAAAUGAUUAAACUUAACAAACAAUAGUGAGACAUCGAGACGGACGGAAAUAAUUAAUGAAUGAGAUGAAAUGAGGGAAAACUAGAAUCGAAUGAAAGUGAUUAAUAAAGUAUAUACGAUAUAAUUACUACGCAUGCGUUUACAUACCUUUAAAUAUUAUAAGCAACAAUUGUAUAUAUAUAUAAUAAAAUGUAAAUGUAGUGAAUAUGAGCUAUUAUGUACGCAGUAUAAAUAUGAAUAUAACAGCAAAAUGAAAAAAAAAAUGAUUAGCAAACAAUUAUACAUCAUUACAGAAGAAAAUAAAAGUGCUAUAUAUUAUAGGUAUUCUGAGUGUACGUACGGAAUAUGCGGUGUGCCUUGGUAUAGCCGCUUCGGUUUUGGCAUCUGUCAUAUAUAUUCUGGUAUCAUAUGUGGUGAAGUGCGUUUUCUACUGGCGUCUCCUUGUCGUUUGUUCGUUGACGUAUUUGACAACUUGUGUUUUAAAAUAGGGAACAAACGCCAGAUAACCUUAAUAGUCACUACCGUUCCCCAAAAAUUGGCGCCAGAGUAUGCUUUCCCGUCUGAAAAUACUUGAGCGAUGCGUUCAUUAUUUUUCUCAUCAGUGUAUUUAACCAACGGUUGGUUUAGUUGCGAACAGACUAUCGUAGUGUAAAUGUGGAACAAGCCUUAUGUUCAUUUUUUCACAUGCUAUCUCUAGCAGAAGAUCGCCGCUUGUAAUCGCUGCCCUGUUUCCUCGUAAUAUUGCCUGAAGAACUGCGCCGGGGUAUUGUCUUGCUAGGGUUCGAUAAUUGUUUGCCAAAGAAUUUUUUAAUUGGCACUCUAAAUAUUGCAAAUCUACAGUUAAUAUUGCAAAUCUACAGUUAAUUUAUUGAAUACGUCUGCCACUGCGUCCGCGUUUCGUUCGGCUUAAUUAGCAAGGGAGACGUCAUCAGUCGGGUUGGAAAACAUAGCGUUUAAGGAUGUUAAUUGUAAUUUUGUGUGGUCGAUAGCGUGCAGUUCUUUGCAGCAAAGAGUAUUCCUGCGUUGGAGCAAUACAUUCUUUCGCAGUUGAAACAUCUUUGUGUGAAGUCACCAAAUGUCGACCACGAGUGCAGAUUUAUUCCGAGUGAGGCGAUUUCAAUUUCAUACACCUUUUUAUUUGAGUUGAUAUGAAAAGUUAUUGGUGCUGUGGUAAAUUUUGUCUUUGAACAAUCUAUUAGUGGAGAGGUUUCCCAUACUAUAGUCUGAGUACCAAUAGUGCAAGAUCCACGUUCAACGUCGCAUGUAUCCAAGGCGGGAACGGGUCCGGAUAGUUUGUCAUUGGCAUGGUCAAAAUAUAAGCUAAUUCGGGUAAGUAAAGCAUUAGAAACUUUUUCUGUACUGGAUGUGGGCCAUGUAUAAACGGGUUUUCUUCAUUGGAUGUCGUCCAAAGGUUCUUGCUCUGUUUUGUGAAUUUUUUCAUCCGACUAUCCUGUUUUGUGGUUUUCCAAUUGUAGCAAAGUAAAUUACUGGGUGGUGAAUUUGGUUUCUAUAUUAUGAACUUUGGCUUCGAAGAAAUAACUUGUGGUCUGCCAGAUUGUGGUUGAUUCCUGACAAACGUAUGCAGUAAUUCUUGUUCUAGCCUAGUUGUUGUAUUUCAGCAUUACAUUGCGAUACUGUUGUCCGAGGAUGUUUUAUGCACGGUUUAGUUGGUUCUAUUGCGUAUUCUUUAAUAGGUUUGUCUGGGUAGCAAAGAUGCAUUUCUAUAGUCUCUGUGUUGAUGUAUUUAAUAGAUGUCAAGAAGAUGAACAAAGUCAUAAUGAAACAUCUAAUAGAAAACGAAGUCGCCGUAUCUGUUAAUUGAGGCUAAUUUCUGCUCCAGAAUCAACUAAUAAAUGUUUUUGCAAUGAUUUAUCGUAUACAAAGAAUUGGCCUCGGGUUGAUGUUAAGCCGGACACGUUUAACGGCGUUGGUAUACGGCUGGUCCGUUUCCCCGAAAAUUACAUGACUGCGUACAUCUAUAAGCCCGAUCAUAAAUCGAGCAUGGUAACUGCAGAUGCCAUUAUCCGGGAGUCUGGAGAAGUUAAGAAAAGAAUCGGGGUCGUAGAGAAUUCCCGGUCUCAUUCUGCCUCCGCUGAUAGCGACGAUAUUCGUGAUUGUUAGGAAAUCUGCGAGGUUGAUACGGCAAUAGUAGAUUCGGGUUGGAGGGCAUCGGAUAAUUGCUGAUUUUAUUCGGUCUACUGUAAUUUCUACGACCAUUUUGACGAUUCUGUUGCGACUCGGCCUGUUCUAAUUUCGUUGUCAAACUAUUAAUUUUAUUUGUCAGAUUUUGAAUUGGAAUUUCGAGCAUUUUGUUUUUAAUAACUUGAUUAGUCGUCGGUUGAUUCAUAUCGUUUGCAGGUUCCACCGAUGACAAUUUGAUCAGCACGUUUUGCUACAUUUUCGAUGAAAUCAUUCAAAUUGUUUGAUAAAAUUGUCCGAACAUAUGGUGACAGUUUUUCAAUGAAUGUUCUUUUAAGAAUUAAUAAUUGGAUCUUCGGUAUUACCAAAUAAAAAUUUCAUUUUUUAAGUAAUUCCGUUGUUUUUUUGUCUCCUAAAUUGCUGUUAAAAUGCAUUCAAUCUGUUCUUGGGAAGGUGUGAACGUAUCCAGAAGAGCUUCUUUCAAUUGUGUGUAUGGCCUUUCUGGAUCUGCAUUACAAAUGUCUAAAGAAACCUGUUGUGUUUGUUCGUCACUUAGCGCUGUCAUAACCUCAUCGCAACGUUCUUUUUUUUCAUUUUUGUCCAGAAUGCUUUCGACCCGUUUACCCCACGUGUCGAAAGAAUGUUCCCAAAAACUAGGAAGUCGAAUGGUUGUUUGAUGCCAGUGAUUACGAACGGUGUUUGAAACAUAUGGGCUGGAGCGUAUGGCUGAGAAUGCUGAUCGUUCGAAUUUUGCCUGUGAAGAAUUCUUUCAGUGUUCAUGUGUAGGUAAAACUGUUUCAGGAACGGCAUUGGUUUCCACAGGAUUAACGCAGGGCGAUGAAUAUACCUGGGGAACCAUUUCCGGACGAUUAUUAUCUGUUGUUCCUUUAACGCGUUGAGACGUUUGCGGUUGUUCAGGAACUAACGCAUUUCUCGCAGUAUUAUUUUUAAUGUCGUUUGGAAUGGGAUACGGGUAAUUAUUAUCGAAUAUUUCAUCGAAUGGACUGGGUUCUAGAUAAAACGGGCUCUGAAAUUGUUUUGCUAGCAAUAUAUCUAUUGCGUCCAUCUCGGGGGUUGAUAAAAUGCACUUGUGGCAAUUCUGGUUCACGUAACAAAAAUCUAUUACGUUGCCUUUUUGAAGGAGUGAGAAUAUUAAAAGAAAAUUUGUUCAUAUUUAUGGCUAAUAGUUAAUAAUAUAUACAAAUAAAAAUAAACGAAAGGGUCAAAGAAAAAUAAUGAUUGAAUUAGACGUACCGGUUAUUGAACAGUUCUAUACGCAUAUAUAUAUAUUCUUCUUGCUGUUGUCUUUGUAUUAUUCGUAUCCAAAAAUUACUGCUUCUUUAAUUAAUGUUCUUAGGCUGUUACUUGGAUCUGUUUAAUUCUUUUCAGAAACAAUUGAUGAUAACGCUCAAUUUCUUUUUUUUUUAUCUAUUACCGAAUAAUCUUGUUCGCUAUUUAAGUAGUUACUCCAUUCAAAAAUUGUCAAUCAAUAUCAUGCGAUCUAACUCCAAUCCGAUAGCGGUUCAUUUUGUCUGGGGUCACCAAAUGCAGGGACCGUACUGGGGUCCUAAUAAUAUACUUCCUUCCUUUCUUUAUAAACGUCGUAGUACGGUGUAUAUACUUCUUUAGCUCUUUGUGUACAGUAUCACAGUUUUAAGUUCUUGAGAUAUUUAUUAAUAGUAGUCUCAUACAAAUCACACACAAAAUAAACAAUGUCUUCUCUCAUUCCUUUCUUUCUUCUAGUUCAUCGGCUUAUAUAUUCGACAGAACAGAUGGUGCGUCAUAAGUGUCAAAUCGUUAACACUCUUGAUGUUGUCGCAUCAUCUGUUCAGUCAGUAUAAUUAGGGUUGACACCACAGGCUUUGAAAUGGCUUUUUUUAUCGAUCUAAUUUAUGAAUUCAGAGAAUUUCGUCAGUACUGAUAAUCAGCCUUUUCUAUGCAUUAAAAAUGUUCGUCCAAAUUACUAAUCUUUCCCUAUGAAAUACUCCCUUCUUUUGGAAUGGAAUUCCGGGUUUUGAGACAUAAUUAUCGUGCCUAUACGUCCUAAAAAAUUCACUAUAAAACAUUAAAAAA